rnacentral:rRNA from 1 species
GGGAUAACACUUGGAAACAGGUGCUAAUACCGCAUAACCAUAGUUACCGCAUGGUAACUAUGUAAAAGGUGGCUAUGCUACCGCUUUUGGAUGGGCCCGCGGCGCAUUAGCUAGUUGGUGGGGUAAAGGCUUACCAAGGCAAUGAUGCGUAGCCGAACUGAGAGGUUGAUCGGCCACAUUGGGACUGAGACACGGCCCAAACUCCUACGGGAGGCAGCAGUAGGGAAUCUUCCACAAUGGGCGAAAGCCUGAUGGAGCAACGCCGCGUGGGUGAAGAAGGUCUUCGGAUCGUAAAACCCUGUUGUUAGAGAAGAAAGUGCGUGAGAGUAACUGUUCACGUUUCGACGGUAUCUAACCAGAAAGCCACGGCUAACUACGUGCCAGCAGCCGCGGUAAUACGUAGGUGGCAAGCGUUAUCCGGAUUUAUUGGGCGUAAAGGGAACGCAGGCGGUCUUUUAAGUCUGAUGUGAAAGCCUUCGGCUUAACCGGAGUAGUGCAUUGGAAACUGGGAGACUUGAGUGCAGAAGAGGAGAGUGGAACUCCAUGUGUAGCGGUGAAAUGCGUAGAUAUAUGGAAGAACACCAGUGGCGAAAGCGGCUCUCUGGUCUGUAACUGACGCUGAGGUUCGAAAGCGUGGGUAGCAAACAGGAUUAGAUACCCUGGUAGUCCACGCCGUAAAC